rnacentral:rRNA from 1 species
GUGCCAGCAGCCGCGGUAAGACGAACCGUGCGAACGUUAUUCGGAAUCACUGGGCUUAAAGCGCGUGUAGGCGGGACGGCACGUCGGUUGCUGAAAUCCCCCGGCUCAACCGGGGAACGGGCAGCGAUACGACCGUCCUGGAGGGGGGUAGGGGGAGCUGGAACUUCCGGUGGAGCGGUGAAAUGCGUUGAGAUCGGAAGGAACGCCCGUGGCGAAAGCGAGCUCCUGGACCCUUACUGACGCUGAGACGCGAAAGCCAGGGGAGCGAACGGGAUUAGAUACCCUGGUAGUCC